GAAGUUUCCCUCAGGAUAGCUACUGUUGAACAGCUCUAUCACGUAAAGCGAAUGAUUAGAGGAAUUGGGGACGCGUUGUCUUAGACCUAUUCUCAAACUACGGUAAGAUCCACAGUGGUUUCUUGAUUGUGCUUGUUGAGUGGGCUGGGCUUUUGGUAAGCAGCACUGACGAUGAGUGAUGAACCCAGCGUCGGGCUGAAGGGCUUAAUUGCAAGUUCCUCAGAUAUGUUGGCUCAUUUUGACAGCAGGACGGCGGUCAUGGAAAUCGAAAUCCGCCAAGGAGUGUGUAACAACUCACCUGCCAUAUGCACCAGCCCCGAAAAUAGAUGGCGCUCAAGCGGGCUAUUCUUAUUAUUCCUAUUCCCAUCAGUA
rnacentral:ncRNA from 1 species